GCAGGGGUAGCAAAGCCCGGCCAACUGCGCAGGACUUAAGAUCCUGUGACCUUAGGGUCUCCGCAGGUUCAAAUCCUGCCCCCUGCA
rnacentral:tRNA from 1 species